GACGAACGCUGGCGGCGUGCCUAAUACAUGCAAGUCGAACGCUUCUUUCCUCCCGAGUGCUUGCACUCAAUUGGAAAGAGGAGUGGCGGACGGGUGAGUAACACGUGGGUAACCUACCCAUCAGAGGGGGAUAACACUUGGAAACAGGUGCUAAUACCGCAUAACAGUUUAUGCCGCAUGGCAUAAGAGUGAAAGGCGCUUUCGGGUGUCGCUGAUGGAUGGACACGCGGUGCAUUAGCUAGUUGGUGAGGUAACGGCUCACCAAGGCCACGAUGCAUAGCCGACCUGAGAGGGUGAUCGGCCACACUGGGACUGAGACACGGCCCAGACUCCUACGGGAGGCAGCAGUAGGGAAUCUUCGGCAAUGGACGAAAGUCUGACCGAGCAACGCCGCGUGAGUGAAGAAGGUUUUCGGAUCGUAAAACUCUGUUGUUAGAGAAGAACAAGGACGUUAGUAACUGAACGUCCCCUGACGGUAUCUAACCAGAAAGCCACGGCUAACUACGUG
rnacentral:rRNA from 1 species